rnacentral:lncRNA from 1 species
AAAAAAUAAUGAAAGAAGAAUUCAUCUCGAGAGCCUAUUCUAGGGGUGCCAAGGGCUAAUCGGAACCGGCGGACCGGACUGUUGACCACCGGGCCGGUUCAGGGCCGAAUCGCCGGUAGUUAAGGGCCGGUUAAGGUUCAAGAGGUUCUCGGCCCGCGGCCUGCCGGUUCGGCCCUGAACCGCCGGGCCCGGCGUGGCAGGCGAGACAACAGGAGGUUAGGGGGGCAGGGGGGCGCAGGCAGGCAGAGGCGGAUCUACUUGGGGCGGUGGGGGUACAGCUGUACCCCCAAUUUUUUUUUUAAUAGUAGUAUUAUAUACUCCCUCCGCCAAAAUUAUGUAAAAUUGCU